rnacentral:rRNA from 1 species
UACGAAGGGGGCUAGCGUUGCUCGGAUUUACUGGGCGUAAAGGGCGCGUAGGCGGAUGUGUCAGUCAGGGGUGAAAUCCCGGAGCUCAACUUCGGAACUGCCCUUGAUACAGCACGUCUUGAGUCCGGAAGAGGUGGGUGGAAUUCCUAGUGUAGAGGUGAAAUUCGUAGAUAUUAGGAAGAACACCGGUGGCGAAGGCGGCCCACUGGUCCGGUACUGACGCUGAGGUGCGAAAGCGUGGGGAGCAAACAGG